AAAAUUGUCACUUUGCUUCUUUACCUUUGGGUGUAGAGUCGCUAACCCGAUUUGUGAAACAGCAGAUGAGAAUCUCUUGAAAUAUCACCGCUGCCACGGCUGCUGCCGCUGCCGCUGCCAAAUAUUGAGUGAUCAUGAGCUCUCCUACAGACCCUCAAAAUCAAGCCCCGAACUCUCCCGCACAAGAUCCCAACCACAAUCAACAAGAAGACCCACCACAAUCAAAUGAUCCCCAAUCCCCUAAAACCCUAACCCUAG
rnacentral:misc_RNA from 1 species